AUUGGGGUAGCUGGUCCUCGUGCACGAGAUACUGCAUCUGUGGCAACGAAACCUGCGUGGCGGAGACUGUCACCCGACAUCGCCGAUGUAUCACUCCGCCUCCCCGGAACGGCGGCCGAACCUGCACAGGGAGCUCCUCGAGCACGCGGGAUUGUGACUGUCGGGAUAUUGACGAGUGUUUGGACGACGCGCUCAACAACUGCGACCUGGACAACGGCGGUUCGUGUGUGAAUACGCAAGGAUCGUUCCACUGCGCAUGUGACGAUGGGUACAACCUACAGGCGGAUAGGAGGACUUGCCAAGAUAUUGACGAGUGUGCAGAUAGUAGUACGUGUGUGAACGGCAGGUGUACAAAUGUUCCAGGGAACUACA